GGACCGGUAGCUCAGAGGUAGAGCGUUCGGCUGCAGUCCGAACGGUCACGCGUUCAAUUCGCGUUCGGUCCU
rfam:Neurospora tetrasperma FGSC 2509 unplaced genomic scaffold NETTE2scaffold_7, whole genome shotgun sequence.